rnacentral:lncRNA from 1 species
GCAGCCUCGCCGCGCGCCCGCCGGGAGUAGCUUUCCGCACAGGUGGCGAUCGGGAUCGCCAAGGACACUCCCCACUGUCGGGCCGUGCCUGCAGGUGACAGCGCUCUCCGAGGGACGUUGGGAUGCGCGACAGGACAGCCUGACUGCACCCCAUGUCGUCCGCUGCAGUUUCCUUCUGUGUUCAAACCCAGCUGAAUCAGAGGUCACGUGGCUAAAUGAGAC